rnacentral:lncRNA from 1 species
GAGUAUUCAUGGUUAGAGUCUCAGUCUCUAUUACGGGCCCUAGUACACUUCAGGAACUCAAAAGCUUUGCUGAUAUAAUGCAAGGUGAUAAAAAAGUAGAAAGACUUGGGAUAAUCUUGAUUUCUGAAGGCAUCAAACGGGAAUUAGAGAAAGCAGCAGGAAAAACGAAGGCCUUUUUAAGUUCCAUGAGAACUACGGUUUGCAAGACUGGUCAAAACAGUACAAUGCAAGCGGCAAGAAUCAGGAAGUGCACAGAAACAAGAAGCUCGGUGCACACUGGGAUCAGGCAAGCAUCUGGGAGAAGACUGUAGCAAGACUGGAUCCUGAGAAAUAUACAGAGUUCAGAGGCUCCAUGGCUACACUUUGGGCAUGUAUGUCAUUACAGGAAUGAAAAAAAGAUGAUGGCCAAAUGCUGUAUUAAAAUCCCAUUAGAAAUGCCGGGAGAAAUUUAUGGCCCCAAUCUCUUUUAUCUGACAGCAGUUCCCAUGUGAUCCAUCAGGCUCUGAACAUGAAUUUUAAUGGGCUCAGAACCACUUCUCUACCCUGAGGUCACAGGCUGUCAGAGUGAAUCUUCCACAAACUGAUUGGAACCUGAAGAAUUUGCUCUGUCAAGAGAGGAAAAAAGGCAUAAACCUUAGGUGGUAUGGAGAAUGAGGAAAGGGGAGGAGAAGGAGAAAUCCAAAAGAUAGGUGGAAAACCAUGGGAGCAAAUCAAGGCAGGAAAUCAGAGAAAUCAAAGCCAGAGAGCAUCUCAGGAAGAGCUGAUGGCUACCAGCACUGAAUACCACAGAGAUUAUUACAUCGCAAGACAAUGCAUCGCUCCAGCAAGGAUAACAAAGCGAAUGGGAAGGAAAGGGUUAUGAAGAGUUCAUGGAAGGCACCUUAGGCAGACUACUUUUAGGAAAGAGUGGAUGUGGAAGCUAAGUAUCUGGAAAUUGAUUUCCUUAGAACAGUUUGUGUUUGCAUGUCUUCUGAAAGGUUUUAUGUACUCCCAAGAGUGAAGCAGCAAGUCUUGCUUAAGCAAAGCUGGUGAAAUCAGAGCCUGGUCCAAGGCUCAGAAGCGUUUGCGGGGAAAAGCAAACACUUUUUGUGGGAGAAGGAAACAAAGGAGAAGAGAGGAGGAGGAAGAAAUUGAAAAAGAAGGGGAAGAGAAGAGGAAAAGAAAAAGAGACGUUGAGAGAAAGAAAAACAGAGAGCUGUGUGUGAUUGGAUGCCAUGACUCCUCAGUCUUAGUGCUAAUGCCGUUGUUACCUAACUCUAUUUAGGGAACUUUCCAGAACAAAGCGAAGCUUUGUGGGCCUGGCUUUCAGAACUUAUGCAACAAUUGUUUUGGGAGCAGACUGAAAAUUUUACAAGAGAACUGAGUUUUCAAGAGACUGACGGUGUGACCAAAAGAUCAAAGGUUUGGUGCAGUGGGACUAAGUUUCAGGCAGCCUUUCAAAUUGUGAAGACUUUCCUCCCUGUUAUGGCAGUUAAGACAUGUGAAAAUGGUAGUUCGAGACACUUAUAAGCAACUUUCUUCUUAGUUCACAAUGUUCCAUGAAUGUCAGUGCCCUCCAAACUCACGAGAACAAAGCAGGCAACCAGGAUGAUUACUCCCAAAUCAUUGAUAAAAGGAGAGAGAAGUACAGAGAUACACAGUGAUUUGUGUGGGUUGCCAAAAAGUUGCACGGAGGAAACACAGAUAAAUUAAAUACUGGUUAGCAAUCUUUAAUAACCAGGAGAUGCUUAACAUUUAUUUAGAAAUCUGCAACAUUUUAUAAAUCAUUGUUUUGGCUUCUGGGACAAACUCAGAAUCUGGAACCCACGGAAACCCUUCAGUUACACAAAGGCUUUCCAGUUCAUUGCUACUGCACUGAAGAACAGUCUUCACAACUAUACCUGGAACUUACUAGGCCAAGAAGGCAAGGCGUUGGUAUGUGUUUUUAUUGUAGUUAAACUUAUCUGGAUUUAAAAGGCAUUAACUAUCUUCUGAUUUCUUCCUUUUUCUUCAAUUGUACAAGAGUGUUUCAAUUGAAUAUUGCAACUGAAGACAUUCACUCUGCGUUGAUCACCUAUGGAGUGAUCAAAUUUCAACCCUUUGAAGUUUCCUAAAUGAAAGAGGCACUCUGAAUUCAAAGGCUGUUUGAAUGAACUGACUGCUUCAGCACUGUCUUGUAGAUAUAGUCCAUUCAAAUAAAAGACAAAUAUCUGACUGAAUUUUGUUAGCACGUUAAGACAUGUAUUAUAAAAAGGUUUAAGAAGAAAAUAAUGGCCACAAUUCUUCAGAAAACAUGUGAACUAAUGUGACAAAACACUGUGGUGUUGCAAACUCAAGUGCUGCUCUGGCCAAGUCACCUCGCUGAAAUCUCCACUUCCACUUGUGCAACCUACCAAGCCACUCUCUACACAGCUGCCAGAGUGAUUACAAAAACAACGCGGGAUUAUGCUACCCCUGCUUAUCUAAAAUUUGUCAAAAUGCCCGUUACACUUUGAAUAAAAUACAGAUUCCUCUCAGAUCUCAUUUCUUAUCAUGUCUUUCUCAAUCAUUAUGUUCCAGCCUCACUGACCUUCUUUCUGUUCCUGUAAAAUAUUCCUGCCUCAAGGGCGCAGGCCUACGACCUGCAGUUCUCUUUUUCCCACAUGUGACCAGGCUCUCUCUUAGCCAUCAGGUCUCAAAUAAGCUCUUUCCGUUCUGUCUAGGCAUCUUAUCAAAAUCAACCUGUGUAUUAUUAUUCAUUUAUCACAUAAUCUUGUUUUAUUUUCCUCAUAGCACUCUCACUUUCUGAA